UUGGAGGGCAAGUCUGGUGCCAGCAGCCGCGGUAAUUCCAGCUCCAAUAGCGUAUAUUAAAGUUGUUGCAGUUAAAAAGCUCGUAGUUGAAUUUCGGGGUCAGCAGGUUGGUCGUGCCACUGGUAUGCGCUGGCCUUGCUGAUUCCUCCCUCUUGAUGAGCCGUAAUGUCAUUAAUUUGGUGUUGCGGGGAAUCAGGACUGUUACUUUGAAAAAAUUAGAGUGUUUAAAGCAGGCAAGCGCUUGAAUACAUUAGCAUGGAAUAAUGAAAUAGGACGUUUGAUCCUAUUUUGUUGGUUUCUAGGAUUGACGUAAUGAUUAAUAGGGAUAGUUGGGGGCAUUAGUAUUCAAUUGUCAGAGGUGAAAUUCUUGGAUUUAUUGAAGACUAACUACUGCGAAAGCAUUUGCCAAGGAUGUUUUCAUUAAUCAAGAACGAAAGUUAGGGGAUCGAAGACGAUCAGAUACCGUCGUAGUCUUAACCAUAAACUAUGCCGACUAGGGAUCGGAUGAUGUUAAUUUUUUAAUGACUCAUUCGGCGCCUUACGGGAAAC
rnacentral:rRNA from 1 species